GCGAACGCUGGCGGCAGGCUUAACACAUGCAAGUCGAGCGGGCAUAGCAAUAUGUCCGCGGCAGACGGGUGAGUAACGCGUGGGAACGUACCUUUUGGUUCGGAACAACUGAGGGAAACUUCAGCUAAUACCGGAUAAGCCCUUACGGGGAAAGAUUUAUCGCCGAAAGAUCGGCCCGCGUCUGAUUAGCUAGUUGGUGAGGUAAUGGCUCACCAAGGCGACGAUCAGUAGCUGGUCUGAGAGGAUGAUCAGCCACAUUGGGACUGAGACACGGCCCAAACUCCUACGGGAGGCAGCAGUGGGGAAUAUUGGACAAUGGGCGCAAGCCUGAUCCAGCCAUGCCGCGUGAGUGAUGAAGGCCCUAGGGUUGUAAAGCUCUUUUGUGCGGGAAGAUAAUGACGGUACCGCAAGAAUAAGCCCCGGCUAACUUCGUG
rnacentral:rRNA from 1 species